rnacentral:sRNA from 1 species
ACACGUGAAGGGAGGUGGUCCACGACAUGAAGCUCGUUCGGACUCGUGAGGUGGUCGCCCGCUAGUCGGGAGCCACGGACGGCUCGCCGCCCGGCUCUCCAGGCGAGACCACGGCGAUCACCGGAACCCGCGGGAGCGGCGCACUCGUCCAGCGUCGCAGCCACUCGGCAGCCCGCGGGUUCUUCCAU